CAGCUGUAGGCCCAGAAGGCAGGACUCUGGGAUCCUCUACCAUGGCCUGGUCCCCUCUCCUGCUCACCCUCCUGGCUCACUGCACAGGUGA
rnacentral:pre_miRNA from 1 species